AUUUUAUUCUUUUAAAAUUCAGAUCCAGUGCGAGAUGCUAGGUACACCCCCCAACGGUUUCCCCACGCCCUAUGAUUACCCCCCCCCCCAAAAAAAAGAGGCUAGGAUACCUGAUCUAUGUGUCUAGCUGUCUGGGAAGGUUUAUUAUUAUUAUAUGUCUAAUAAGUGUCUAGCCUUUCUCCCUGACCCGGCGGUGUAUUUUUGGUCUCAUUAGUAGUCAGGGAGAUGCUUUAGAGUAUCCGGUCCUGGGAGUCGGGGAUAACACACUGCCGGCAACACGGAGGGAGAAGGGAAAGAGGGUGGUAGCAGAAGGGAAGCCUUCUUUCCAACUCUUGUCUCCAAGCUAUGGAAGGGGAAAUGAGAAGUGAUGGGACUGGCCCCAGCGUUGGAUAUGUGAUCAGUGAUUUUGGGGGGGGGGCGGGGGGUCUUAGCAGAGCUUAAAAGGGGGGGUUAUAGGGUGCGGUGGGGAAGUAUUGAUUCCUUAUUCUGCUAAAGAUUUUAGGUAGGCAUGCAAAGAAUCUGUAGGGUAGUUGUAAGUGGGUGGGGGUGGUGAAGAAUCUAAACGAGUCUGUAACCAGAUACUGAAGCUUUCCAGGAGUGAGUGUGUGUGUGUGCGAGCGAGCGAGAGACAGACAGCGAGAGGAAGAAAGGGGGCAGUGUGGUCUAGUACAUUUCAUCUGGUCGUUGAUUUGAGCCUGAUGCUUGCUGUCCCUCAACAGCCUCCCUUGCCUGACUUUUUUUUUUUCUUCUUUCCCCCCCUCUCCCUCUCCUUUUGCCUUCUACUUCGCCGAAGCCUAGGGGAGCCAGUAAAGAUUAAAUGUGCUUUCUAAAAGGCAGCCACUUCAUGCAGCUAUGUCCACUUCCCCCUCCCUACCACCACCACUAACCCCCCUUUUAAAUAAAAUAAGAGCGAGACAGACAAGGAGGAGGAGGAAUAUAGUUUAAUGAUGCCGGGACUGGCUGAUCCAGAUGGAAAAACGGAGAAAAGAUCUGAGAUCCCGGACGAGGAAGGACCCUGGUGAAUGGUCGGAGACUCCAGAGGCUGGAACCUUCCCCACUUCCAAAUGGAUACAAAUUUUAUACCCGAGGGACCUGUUACAUCCCUGUGCACAUGGGACUCCCAGUGGAGAUUAGACCUUCUGCAAGGACUGCAG
rnacentral:lncRNA from 1 species